ACGGCCGCGGGAUUCUCCACCGUGCAAAGGUAGCAUAAUCACUUGUCUCCUAAAUAGAGACUAGUAUGAACGGCCAAAUGAGGAUUUACCUGUCUCUUGAAGCCUAUCUAUGAAACUGAUCUUUCAGUACAAAAGCUGAAAUUUAAACACAAGACGAAAAGACCCUGUGGAACUUAAAGCUACAGCCAACAAAAUGGACCUAUUGCUUUUAGUUGGGGCAACUUUGGAAAAAAACAAAACUUCCAAUUAAUCAUCUAGACAGACAUGCCGACAUAUAAUAAACUAGAUCCAGUACUACUGAUUAAAGAAAAAAGCUACCCCAGGGAUAACAGCGCCAUCCCCUCUUAGAGCCCCCAUCGACGAGCGGGGUUUACGACCU
rnacentral:rRNA from 1 species